rnacentral:lncRNA from 1 species
AUUAUUGACAAAAGAACAAAUCAGUAAAGUAACAAAUUGGUAAGCUGUUCUGCAAAUCAGACUAUAAAGAUUUUUUCUACAAGGUCCUUUCCUGAGUUUUAGGACCCAGGACCUACAGGAGCCCAGCACAGACGGGAGAGCCUUCAGGCUCCCCUUCAGCCACCGUCUCCAGCUAGAAGUCCAGGGAACAAAGAGUCACUAGACAGCAUAAACCAAGGAAAUCAGAGCAAUCUUCAAGAAGCAAAAACCCCCAAGACAGAUAUAAGCAUGUGCUGAGGACAGAAGACAAUGACUGGGAUUUCUGCAAGCUAGGAAGGCAAACGAGACGCUUGCGUGGAGCCAGUCCUACAAAAGGCAACUACCUCAGUGCAGGCAAACUGGAAAAAUAAAAUUAAUAUCACAGCAAGAACACAGUGAGAACUCUUGCCUCUGUCAGUUUUGACUCUGGGUAAAGAGGGGAAACAAAGGCUCCUCUAAGAAUUACUAACCACAAGGUGACCAUCGUAUAGGUUUAGUGUCCAAAUUCAUACUAUUUGAGUGGUCUGAAAAACCCAACCUGAGAACUGAAUUUAAAUAAUUACAGGUUAGUAACGACCCAAGGAGCCUGGAAGGAGCAAUCACAAAUCUCUG